rnacentral:rRNA from 1 species
UACGUAGGGUGCGAGCGUUAAUCGGAAUUACUGGGCGUAAAGUGUGCGCAGGCGGCCGCGCAAGUCGAGUGUGAAAGCCCCGAGCUUAACUUGGGAAUUGCGCUCGAAACUACGUGACUGGAGUGUGGCAGAGGAAGGUGGAAUUCCAGGUGUAGCGGUGAAAUGCGCAGAUAUCAGGAGGAACACCGGUGGCGAAGGCGGCGUCCUGGACCAACACUGACACUGAUGAGCGAAAGCCAGGGGAGCAAACGGG